AUUGAACGCUAGCGGCAGGCUUAACACAUGCAAGUCGAGCGGGCGAGGUUGCUUCGGUAACUUAGCUAGCGGCGGACGGGUGAGUAAUGCUUAGGAAUCUGCCUAUUAGUGGGGGACAACAUUCCGAAAGGGAUGCUAAUACCGCAUACGUCCUACGGGAGAAAGCAGGGGCUCUUUAUGACCUUGCGCUAAUAGAUGAGCCUAAGUCAGAUUAGCUAGUUGGUGGGGUAAAGGCCUACCAAGGCGACGAUCUGUAGCGGGUCUGAGAGGAUGAUCCGCCACACUGGGACUGAGACACGGCCCAGACUCCUACGGGAGGCGGCAGUGGGGAAUAUUGGACAAUGGGGGGAACCCUGAUCCAGCCAUGCCGCGUGUGUGAAGAAGGCCUUUUGGUUGUAAAGCACUUUAAGCGAGGAGGAGGCUACCUGGAUUAAUACUCUAGGAUAGUGGACGUUACUCGCAGAAUAAGCACCGGCUAACUCUGUGCCAGCCGCCGCCGUAAAAC
rnacentral:rRNA from 1 species